UACAGAGGGUGCAAGCGUUAAUCGGAUUUACUGGGCGUAAAGCGUGAGUAGGUGGCUCGCUAAGUCGGUUGUGAAAUCCCUGGGCUCAACCUGGGAAUUGCAGUCGAUACUGGCAAGCUAGAGUUCGGUAGAGGGUGGCGGAAUUCCCGGUGUAGCGGUGAAAUGCGUAGAUAUCGGGAGGAACAUCGAUGGCGAGGGCAACCGCCUGGGCCUGAACUGACACUGAGACACGAAAGCGUGGGUAGCAAACAGG
rnacentral:rRNA from 1 species